rnacentral:rRNA from 1 species
AGUGAACGCUGGCGGUAGGCCUAACACAUGCAAGUCGAACGGCAGCACAGUAAGAGCUUGCUCUUACGGGUGGCGAGUGGCGGACGGGUGAGGAAUACAUCGGAAUCUACUUUUUCGUGGGGGAUAACGUAGGGAAACUUACGCUAAUACCGCAUACGACCUACGGGUGAAAGCAGGGGAUCUUCGGACCUUGCGCGAUUGAACGAGCCGAUGUCGGAUUAGCUAGUUGGCGGGGUAAAGGCCCACCAAGGCGACGAUCCGUAGCUGGUCUGAGAGGAUGAUCAGCCACACUGGAACUGAGACACGGUCCAGACUCCUACGGGAGGCGGCAGUGGGGAAUAUUGGACAAUGGGCGCAAGCCUGAUCCAGCCAUACCGCGUGGGUGAAGAAGGCCUUCGGGUUGUAAAGCCCUUUUGUUGGGAAAGAAAAGCAGCAGGUUAAUACCCCGCUGUUCUGACGGUACCCAAAGAAUAAGCACCGGCUAACUUCGUG